AGUGGACGCUGGCGGUAGGCCUAACACAUGCAAGUCGAACGGCAGCACAGUAAGAGCUUGCUCUUACGGGUGGCGAGUGGCGGACGGGUGAGGAAUACAUCGGAAUCUACUUUUUCGUGGGGGAUAACGUAGGGAAACUUACGCUAAUACCGCAUACGACCUACGGGUGAAAGCAGGGGAUCUUCGGACCUUGCGCGAUUGAAUGAGCCGAUGUCGGAUUAGCUAGUUGGCGGGGUAAAGGCCCACCAAGGCGACGAUCCGUAGCUGGUCUGAGAGGAUGAUCAGCCACACUGGAACUGAGACACGGUCCAGACUCCUACGGGAGGCAGCAGUGGGGAAUAUUGGACAAUGGGCGCAAGCCUGAUCCAGCCAUACCGCGUGGGUGAAGAAGGCCUUCGGGUUGUAAAGCCCUUUUGUUGGGAAAGAAAAGCAGCAGGUUAAUACCCCGCUGUUCUGACGGGACCCAAAGAAUAAGCACCGGCUAACUUCGU
rnacentral:rRNA from 1 species